rnacentral:piRNA from 1 species
UGAAAUGUGAAGAGAAGGACGGAAGUUU